rnacentral:rRNA from 1 species
GUGAGGAAUAUUGGUCAAUGGGCGCAAGCCUGAACCAGCCAUCCCGCGUGCAGGAAGACGGCGCUAUGUGUUGUAAACUGCUUUUCCAGGGAGAGAAACUUGCGCACGUGUUGCGCAAUUGACGGUACCCUGGGAAUAAGCAUCGGCUAACUCCGUGCCAGCAGCCGCGGUAAUACGGAGGAUGCGAGCGUUAUCCGGAUUCAUUGGGUUUAAAGGGUGCGUAGGCGGACUAUUAAGUCAGUGGUGAAAUCCUGCAGCUUAACUGCAGAACUGCCAUUGAUACUGAUAGCCUUGAGUUUGGUUAAGGUAGGCGGAAUGUGUAAUGUAGCGGUGAAAUGCUUAGAUAUUACACAGAACACCAAUUGCGUAGGCAGCUUACUGAGCCGACACUGACGCUGAGGCACGAAAGCGUGGGGAUCGAACAGGAUUAGAAACCCUGGUAGUCC